UACGUAGGGUGCAAGCGUUGUUCGGAAUCACUGGGCGUAAAGGGCGCGUAGGCGGCCUUUGGUGUCGGAUGUGAAAGCCCGGGGCUCAACUCCGGAGGUGCAUCCGAAACUCAAAGGCUGGAGGCCGGAAGAGGAGGGUGGAAUACCCAGUGUAGAGGUGAAAUUCGUAGAUAUUGGGUGGAACACCGGUGGCGAAAGCGGCUCUCUGGUCCGGUCCUGACGCUGAGGCGCGAAAGCGUGGGGAGCAAACAGG
rnacentral:rRNA from 1 species